rnacentral:antisense_RNA from 1 species
CUUGAUCGACCCGAGCCAGAGCGGCUCGCCGGUGCGGCCGGCGCCGUAGGUGGCCAGCAGCGCGUUGGCCUC